GACGUAGGUGGCGAACGUUAUCCGGAAUUAUUGGGCGUAAAGGGUGCGUAGGUGGCCUGACAAGUUAUCAGUGGCAAAUCGAGGCUUAACCUCGUGGAAACUGGUGAAUACUGUCCGGCUUGAGUUCAGGAGAGGUUAACGGAACUCCAUGUGGAGCGGUAAAAUGUGUAGAUAUAUGGAAGAACAUCAAUAACGGCGAAGGCAGUUAACUAUUCUGUUACUGACACUGAGGCACGAAAGCGUGGGGAGCAAAACGG
rnacentral:rRNA from 1 species